rnacentral:rRNA from 1 species
CCAUAAUCUGUAUGAUCUGAGUUCAAACCGGAGAGAUCUGAGUUCCACCGGAAUUUUUAGAAUUUAAAAUUUUAGUUAAAAUGCUUAAAUUGUUUUAAAGGACGAGAAGACCCUAUAGAUCUUUAUUAUUUAUUUUUUAUAUUUUUUUAGGUUAAAUUUUAUAUAAGGAGAUAAAUUUUUUAAUUGGGGUGAUGUUGAGAUAUAAUUAACUCUUAUUUAUUUAAUAUUCAAAUAUAUUUGUAUAGAUGACCUUAUAUUAUUGUUAAAAGAUGUAGAUACCUUAGGGAUAACAGCGUAAUUCUUUUUGAGAGUUCUUAUCGACAAAGGAGAUUGCGACCUCGAUGUUGGAUUAAGAUUAUUAUUAGGUGAAGGUUCUUAAUAAAUAAGUCUGUUCGACUUUUAAAAUCUUACAUGAUCUGAGUUCAAACCGGAGAA